AGGCUGUAACUGGGAUCGUCUGUUGGCGUAGGGUCAUCCAGAGAGCCAGAUCUUGCCUAGUUGAAUAGUUCUGUCGCUCGUCUCUCACGAGAUUCACCUUGCGUUUUUGCUCAGGGCACCUUUCCUGCUGCACCUUUACAGAAGCGCUUGUUAACGCCGUGUCGGUUAAAAAGGCUUGUGCUGUCGGCGGUGCUAAACCCUUGUUCCGACGCGUGCUUUGGGCUUUGCAGCGAGCCGUGGUGGACUGUGCACGUUCACCAGCCAGCACUCCGAUGAGAAGAGGUAGUAGCUGGGGCUUGGUGGGGCCUGGCCCUUCGCCGCGCUCCCUUCAGAAUUAAGCGGCUUGGGAAGAUAACGGGGCUGAGGAAGGUUUUGUUGUGCCGGUACUGUGCGUGUCGAGUUUGAAGUACUAGUCUUGAAGACAAGUCUUUGAACUCGGGAACCGGUGGGUGGCUUCCUUGUAACCACAUUGUUUUAAAGUGUUAUUUACGUGAUUCCUACGUAAUGCACAUUGAUUGCUAUAUGUAGGCACCCAAGACAAUUUUUAACUAAGCCGUAUAAAUAUAUAGGUAGCUCCACACUUGCGUGCAUGCACAUCAGUGGGUAGGGAAUGUUCUUUUAACAUAGCUAGCUGCAGUGUAUGUGGUGCAUUUCCUAAACGCGCUGAACUGUAGAAUAGUAAGAAGAAAGAGGUACCUGGGCAUAUGGUACAGCCCAUUCUGAAACACUUCAGUAAACAGAAAAUGUUUUUAAGCUCCCGGCUCUGCGCGCGUAGACACGAUCAGUGGUCUCCAUCCAGCUGAGCGGAGUUUGGUGAGAUUGGUGAAGGCCAACUUCAGCUUGUGUCAAAGAUUCCUCUGCGUCUUGUCGCAGUCCAGCUACUUGAGGCAUUUGAGCCUUUUUGCUGACAGGUUUAUAGCUUCCCAGAAACCGAGGCAAGAAUUCGUAUUUGUGAUCGUUGAAUCGGCGCUCUCUGCUUCCUCCAAAAGUGGUUCAUCCGUGAACUUGCACUGAUGCUGUUAAUCUGUUAUAUAUAUAUGAUAAAAAUAUAUUAUUUUAUAUAUAUAUAUUUAUAUAUAUAUAACUGCUGUGGUUCUGCAUGAUGCAUUAAAUUCUCCUCGAUGCAGUGGUGACAGGUGAACACUGCUACUUCUGACAGACUUCACUGCGUGUUGUCCUAACAAAAAGGCUUUGUUAACCUCAGAGUGGAAAGGGUAAUGGGGAAAGAACUUUUUUUUUUUUUUUUUUUUUUAUAAACAAUGUAUGGCUUCGUGUGCUACAAACCUCUAAGAAUGUUUCAGAAACUCAACAAUAAGCAUAAGCUUUUCUGUUAGCUACAGUUUUUCCGUUGAGGAGGAAUGAAGGUAAUGAUGUUUACUACUAAGCUGACACGCAUCUAUUAGGUCUUCAGCUUACUGUCUGUGAGGAUUGCUCACUGCUUUUCUGCGAGGGAAUUGAUGAAACACCACAGUAACUAUACCGCAUGUAUAGUACCUGGACUCUGAAACAGCUCUUACUCCAAGAAGUGAAGGAGCGAGCAGAAUCUGUGUCCUUUAAUACCCUUUAAUAAUAAGGGAGUUGUAUCCCCUUUGCGUUAACAGCUUCAUCAUCAGGGUAAUUUCUUGCAGAACUUAAGCAAAAGGAACAGUGCUAGAGAUGAAGGGGGGUGGGGGUGGGGUUGUACGCUCAAAACCCGGCAGUUACAAAUGAGGUGACAGAGAAAUUAUUCCAAUUUUGAACUCUUUUUACAGUACAAGUAGCCCUUGCUUUCUGUGCAUUCUAUACGCAAGAAUCGCGGCAGCAUUGUAUUUGGCAUUCUCUUUUGCCAGAUGUCUCAUGGAAGAUUUCACAGAAGUGAGAUCUGGGGCCAUGCAAAGUUAGAACUGCAAAAAUCACAUACUCGAGACAGGUAUUUAUGAAGUAAAUGUUCCCUUUUCAUAGCUGGUAGAAGCUCAACAGAGCUGAAAGCUGACAAGUACAAGCAUGUGUGUCUGAAGCAGGAGGACGCGAUUCAGAACAUCUCUUCUGCAGCUCUGUGUGACAAUAAAGAAGGAAAAGCUGGACAAUUUAAUAUAAGAAAAGUUUUUAAAACUCUUUACAAAGAAGUAUGCCAGAAUUAUCUUACUAGUGUAUUAAAAAAAAAAAACUCAAAACCAAUAAAAAUUGCCAGUCUUGGCUGUAGUACUGGAAUUCUGUCAGGGAAUUCGUAAUGUUCCCCAUGCCCUUAAAAUAAAUCUCUAACAAGUCACUAAACUGAGAUUUAGCCAGAACUGGUCACUUUUGCAUUUUCUACAGCAAAUGUUUCACCAACACGUUUGAAUUGAAGACCAAGAUAACACUUUUUUUGUCAAUUACUGGUGGUGUGUUGUUGGCCUAAGACUAGCGUUACUAGUUGGUGUAAGACUAGGUUGCGUUUUUAGCAUCUAAAACUUAAUUAGCUGUACCCAUCUAUUAAUACCUUCUCAUAUUUCUUUAGUCUGAAAGAAGUGACUUGUUUUUUGUAUUUGAGAAGGCAGCGUUCCUGAGCUGCAAUAGGUAGAUCCAGAGUGUUCCUCUAGAGGAGCCUGCCUCUCCAGUGAUUGUCGGGAAAGCCCAGGGAAAUAGCUGCCUCAUUUAGCCAUAUAGUUAAUUAACUAAAACUGAAUGGUACAGGUAGGCCUUUAUCAUAAACAGUUUGGGUCUUCUUUCCCUAAAAUACCCCUUACUCCCACUGCAUCAGCCUUUUAUGAUAGACUGACUUGGUAUCUGUGUUGGGGAAGGGGAAAGAGACCAGCUUCACAGUUACACUUGCAAAUUUCUUGCUUACUAGUCAGAAGAAUAAAUAGAAAUAAAAUUUACGUGAUGUUCUUUGACAUUAGACAGCAGUUACAUAGGCAGCAGUGUAUUGUGUUUCUUAGGCAGGUCAACUUGCGGCUUACUGGUUGACUUACCUGGCAGAGCAGUAAAUGAUGUAAAAUCCAAAGUGAAGACAAGAACCAUAAAGCUUUUGAAUGACAAAAAGACAAAUCUUCAAACCGAGAAGGGUACCGUGAAGAAGCAGUGACAAGAAAAAUGCUAAGGAAUUAAGUAACUUGUGACUUCAAGUGGCACCAUACAAAUCAAGUGCCUCAGAUGCGCAUAAAUUCUGAUCAGUAAUUUUAAAAACGUGAAUUUAAAAGUGUGUUCCAUUGCUAUCGUCGGGGCUAGCUCUCUAGGGUGCAACCCCAUUUGUAACACUGUCUCACAGACUUGUGAGGCAUGGCUUCCCUAUAACUGUCCAUGUUUGCCAAAAAGAUCGUAUUUGUUGACUUAUUUUCUAAUUUUAUUCCUUUCUACAAUCCACGUUUGCUUGUUACUAGCUUGGUCUCUUUAAAAACACCUAAAAAUAGGCCUUACAUUUUUAAUUUUCUACUUCUCUAGUACAAAGCAGCAUUUAUCAUCUAGUACCAAGAACAGUUAUUCUCUAUCCUGCCCUGGAUUGGCAGCACUGAUGUCAGGACUUCUCCCUUGCGUGAGCCUCUGGGAGGCGAGCACAACGAUGUGAGCAUCGCUGUACUGGCCGCUGCAGAGCCUCCACCCAAAAUCCCCGAGGGCAAACACAAGAAACUUAUUUUAUUGCUGUCCCUCCUUUGGUUGCAAGCUAAAAUGGUUUCUCCUCAGAAGCAGCUCAUGAGGUCUCAGUAUCUUUUUUUGUGGUUGCAUCAUACUUCAUCAUACCCACUCACUCCAUCUCUUUUCAGAAGCAUUUUGUGACUCACGUGGCAGGACACAACCCCCCUGUUGCUGCACCGGCCAUGUGUGGUGGUCUGCUGCUGUGACCGAGGUGGCCCAGCACCGACACUUGGGUUCUGAAGCCUUCGGUUCUGGAACUUUCUUGCCACGCUGCUGCACCCAGUCAUCCACACGCUAGGAGUCCUGACGGCGCGCCCUGGGCAGAGUUUGUCGGUAGCUGGGCUCUCUGUAUUGGAUAGAAAGGAUGAACCAUUUUUUAUUGGUGGUGAUGACCUCUAAAAUCAGACACAUAGUACUCCUGGGUAUACACACGUAAAAGCUUGGGGCUUUUUUUUAGCGAUUUCACAGACGUGGGUUAGUGAUUUCAUGUGCACAAGCAGACAGGGUGACUGUUUCUUACAAACGCACGUGCUGCUGCCAUUACAAAGGAGUUGGGUACUUGUAAAGCUAUCUCAGCUGUCCAAAAUUAAACAUCUCCAGAGUCUGUUUGGGCCACUUUGGCUGCUCAGAAACGGGAACGUUUUGCCAACUAAGCUAUCUAAAAGUUAAAGAAAAUUUUCUGAAAUUACAAGUUAAGAGAAAAGCAUACGUAAAAGAGAGCCGAUAUGGUAACGGUUCUCCAAGCUCACAAACGAGUUGCUCAGAUCUUUUAGAUGACACGGCAAAGUGUGUGUUGCCAGCCGAUGCAGUGAAAGUGAAUACCUGCAGCUCUAGGUACGAUUUCAGAUUUGUAUCUUUGAUUCUUACUGGAUCGCUCUCAAAAAAACAACAAGCCAAAACCAUUUGUGGUCUAUGUAUGCAAAAACAAUCAAAGAAAUUGAAUCGUAUUAAGAAUUUGAUGCUUUGAUAUGAGCAAGGAUCAGGCUUUUUAUAUCUUUACAAUUAAGUUAUUUUGUGAAACGUAAGACUAUUCUGUGAAAGAGUGAGGGCACUGACAUUAAUGUCACAUUAGCCACAGAGGUGGGUCAUAGUGAUGUAUGUCAUUCAUAUGAGUGCUUUCAUGGCAAAUUCCAAAAUGACGAGGAUUUUAACGAGCUGAUUUGGAACUUAGUCUUAGAAAAUGAAGAAUGAUGAAAAAAAAGUCAUGAUGUGAUCAGACUCUGAAAUGGCCUAAUAAAAAAUUGUGAGCAACCAGGUAAUUUUUUGAGUGAUAGACACAUACCUGAAACACAAUGUGGGAAAAGCUAAAUUGCUGUAAAACAAAAAGGGGUCACCAGAGUUGCUGAAAGCAGAUGUUCCCUUUAUUUUUAUCUGUGCAUCUCUGUGUGUAAGUUGGGAUCAGUCGGUUUGCCUUUACUGAUCUUGAGAUGAUACGAUAGCUUUGUGCUUUCACGUAGUCAGCGAAGCUGUGAGGCAUAAGGCCAAACAUCAGCUGAAUAUAAAUCAGUAAUUCCAAAUGUCUGGAUAAAAGCAAACUGAGUGGUGUAGUAAACAGAGUAACACAUGAAAUAGUUACUCCGUCCAGCAUGGGCAAAAAGCCUCAGCGGGAGAACUUGGGAACACCUUUUAUGCUUCUAGAAGAAUGUACCCAUUUAGACAGAGAACAUAGACACGUGAACCAGAGAGGUCUAGUAAAUGUAACUUACGUAAAAUACUUGUAGAGAUUAUUGGUUAGCUGUUGGAAAAGUGAAGGGAGAAGGAAAUCUUCAAAUAGGAAAGAAAACAAAGUAGUAAAAUGUGGUCUUUAAAGCUGCAUUUUCAGCCACUUGAUUCUUGAUAAUUUAACGUCUGCCCUUUUGGACUGACACAGCAAAUAACUGUUGCUCUACUUACAGCUAAGAAAUUGGCUAUGAUAAAUGGUGCAAAAGCCUGGAUAGUUUAUCUUCCUGAUAAUAAUUUCUUGCAAAUUCCCAAAACAAAUACAAAAUGGAUCUUCUGACUCAUCUGUUUUACUGUGAAAUACAACUUGCAGUCAGUCUAAAUUGAUUAGAUGAAUGUUCUGUUGCAAAUAAUCUACAUCCUGUUGAAGGGGCUAUUGGACUAUAUGCAAAAGCAAUGCGGAUUUAUUAAUUUAGCAGAAAUCAAACACUUAUUUCAGAAUAAGUGACUUGGAAAUGCUUCAUUACUUCAAGAGGGAUGUAGAGGUGCUGGAGCGUGUCCAGAGAAGGGCGAUGGAGCCGGGGAAGGGGCUGGAGCACAGCUAGUGUGAAGAGCAGCUGAGGGCACUGGGGGUGUUGAGUCUGGAGGAGACUGGGGGGGGGGACACACACCUUACUGCUUUCUACAACUACCUGGAAGGUUGCAGGCAGGUGGGGGUCGGUCUCUUCUCCCAGGUAACAAGUGACAGGACAAGAGGAAACAGCCUCAAGCUAUGCCAGGGGAGAUUUAGAUUGGAUAUUGGGAGAAAUUCCUUUACUGAAGGGUUGGUCAAGCCCUGGCCCAGGCUGCCCGGGGAGGUGGUGGAGUCACCAUCCCUGGAGGGGUUUAAAAACUGCGUAGCCAUGGUGCCUUGGGACGUGGUUUAGGGAUGGACUUGGCAGCCCUGGGUUAACAGGUGGACUUGGUGAUCUCAGAGGUCUUUUCCAACCUAAAUGAUUCUGUGAUAUCUUGUUCUCUAUUGUGCAGUUCUUUGUUUGAAAAAGAAAAUCAACUUUUCUAUUAUCUAUUGUAGUAAAAGAAUCUCUGAUAUAAUAAUAUAGGAAAGAACACCAAUGCAGACAACAGACAAGUGAUUCAAAACAGAUGUGAAAUUCCCUCCAUGUAGAAAAUUAUAGGCACUGGUGAUGACAUUAGAUGCAUAUGACUAAUCACAGUUAAUGCUUGCUGUUGCCAAUUAGCUUUAUUAGCACAAGCAAUUUGAGCACAGGAUGACAUUACUUUAAUUACUGUAAGCAGCUUGUUCAUUUAUUGAGUAGUAUGCAUUUAGAAAAGGGUUAUUCUAUCUGCAAAUUAAUCAUAACCCUUUUAUCAUUAGAAUUCAGGAACACUGAGGAACAAAGACUUUACCAUGCAAAUAGAAAAAAAUGGGUGAUGAAAGUCUGGCAGUAAUUUUAGUAUUUUACUAUUUUAUUUUUUGAUAAAAAAAGACAAAAGCUAUUGUAUGAUUCCUGUCUGAAAGCUGUACAUGAGUGAGACAAAAUUGCUACCAUUAGAGUUCAGGCGCAAGACAUUAUGACCAUUAGGUGGUAGCAAUGCAAAAAAAAAGUAAUCUUGUGAAGGUGUACAGUAAAAAGAAGGCUAAAGGUAUCUAGAAAAAUCAACAACCCACACUCCAAGCUGCACAGGAAACAGAACUUAUUUUUCCUUCUUUAUCAUAUGAAGAUAUGUUUGUUGGUCUGUGGCACAGGUAUCAGUUUUUCACACAAAUUCACAUAUGAGAAUACAAUCUUCGAAGAGUUAAAUACGCAUAAUUUCAUUAGCAAAAUGCAGAAAGAGUCAUUGUGCCAGUAUGUUUACUCAGAAUGCUAUAGCAAAUGAAACAAGCUGCAACUGUGAGCUUAUUUCAUUUGCACCACCAUGCUGGCUCACAAAACUAUUGCUGCAGAAAUGUCAGAUUCAUGUUGAUGUUUUGGAAACAAGAAUUCAAAAUAAGGUUUUCUUUUCUUUGUGGGUUUCUCCUAAGUCUUUGUUACAUACCAGAAAUUGUUAGUUCAUAAUUCAAAAGAUCAAACUUAUUUUUUCUAUAUUUUAAGUCUGUAGAUAAUUUGGGCUUGAAUCAGGCAUCGUAUUCUCCUGAUAUAUUUUACAAUAGCUAUUUGCAAUUUUUCUUUUCAGCCAUCUGUUGCAAAUCUUGUUUUGAACAAGAUAUCCACUGUUCAAAACUGAAUGUUUGUCUUUAUAAAAAAGUGACAGUCUUUAGCAGUUGUUGACUUCUGCGCUAUUGUUAUUCUUCUCUUUUGUUCAUCCAGAAUUCCUGUAGAAGCCACAGUGCUAGAAAAAGUAGCCCGUCUGUGGCUUGUCUUACGUGGGCUCCUGUGGCAAGGCUGUGGACUCUGCUGUACGCAGGCUUUUAGGGAGUGUGAAUCCCUGCUGUGGGGUAAAAAUAGUUCGUAAAGGCCAGCAAGGCUGGUAACGCUGGCUUGCCCUUGGCAGCACAACCAGCUAAGGCUGCUGAGACGCUGGACAAAGUUGCACAGAGAUGUGGAAGUGUCAGGUUGGACAGAGGAAGGUGUCCCUGCCCGGGGCAGGGGUGGUUGGAGCUAGGUGUUCUUGAAAGGUCCUCUCGAACCCAAACCACUCUGUGAUUUGAUGAAUCAAAGGUUCAUCCCUGUCUCCUUUUGCAUGUAAGCUGUUUCUGGAAGUCUCCUUCUCCUUAAGGUAAUACACGUGCCUUGCAGGCGUCUAAGCAACUUCAAUGUUAAAUGAUUUUACUAAGCACAAUGUUGGCUAAGGCAGGUUGGGUGACUUAACGCUUCGGUUUCCCUGUUGCCUGCGGCCACGAACGUUCCGUGAACUGUCCUUAAAAUGAAGGCAUACACAGGCCACACCACCGUUGUGUGCUGCAUCAGCUGUGUUCAGUGUCCUGUCUCCAUCUUGCAGUCCCAGGACAUCUGCAGCUGGCUUCUGACAAAACUGGGUUUGCCAGCCUAAGUUUCUUUUCAGUAGCGUAGACGGCUUGCUUAUACUGGGAUGAGAGUUUAACUCUCCUGAUGUACCUCUGUCCACAGAAGAAGAAUUUUGCUGGUAGAGCAUACUGGUAGUGUGUACUGCUGCCCUUUGCUGUAAGCCGUUACACUAAGCAGGCUGAUCAAUCAUCGCCCGAAGGAUCUAGCCUUCAAGCCUACCUUUGACAACAGUCAUCAAUGACAGAACAUGAAUUGUUUAAAAUACACUUAAUUUUUUUCAAACUUACCAUAGUUGAAAAAUAUCUUCUUUCUCCAUAAUCUUAGUAUCAUUUUCCAUGUGUGAUUCAAUUCAAGUCUGCAGCGUGCACAAACUCCUAUAAAGUAUCUCCCUGAAAAACAACAAACCCUUAAUUCUCUUCUAGCUUUACAACCAUUUUCUACUUCCCUGGAUGCAUUCAGCAUUCAAAAGCUUUGUAAAUACAGAGGUUGCAUCCGAGUUCUUUGGGCAGCAUGCUCUGCACUUCCAGAACGCCAAAGGUGUCGAUACUGAAACUGCUGAAGGCAGGGGGGCAGUAGGUUUGAAGCGUGCAGGCUUCAUGGCAAGCACCUUAGUAGCCCCAGCAUCUGAAUCAACCGAAGAAGAUACACUUCAAGUAGAAUUCAGAUAUGCUGCCCCAAAAUAAACACAAUAAAAGAAUUUAAAUUAUUAAAUGGCUGUAUGAAUGUUCAGCUUUGUGAUGUUUUUGAUCUCAUACUGUAUUUUGUUUGUUGUCUUCUUGGCAUGGAAUGAACUUUUUUUCUUCUUUCUGGAGCAACAGUUGUCCAUGGCAGACUGUCACAGCUUAUUCCCCGGAUGACGACAGUUCUGUUCAGAAUGGAGCUCCCUUCUGACUCCUGUGCUGACGGUGAUGCUGCGGAGCUCUCUAGCAAUACACACACACGUAUGAAAGGGCAGAGGGUCUGCAUUUACGACUUUCAAGGACUAGAAUAAGGUAAGACAUUUUGAUUAGCACAUGCCAGACGGGGAAGCAAGGCUCUAUUUUUAUGCAUGUGUGCGUAUCUUUACCCGGUAGUGGAGGCAGUCCUUUUGGCUACCCACGCUAUUUCCUCUGUUUGUUAAAUUGUAACACAAGGGUCAUGCCAGAUUCUUCAGCUACUGGUAUCAAUUCUUUUUACAAAGAUUUAUUCAUGCUACCCAGGACAUAUAGAGAAAAAUAAACUGGAAACAGUGUAAUUACCCCUAUUGUCAUCAUGCUAGCAAAAUCUGCCUUAACACAAGUGUUUACUACAGAAACGUUGAUGAAAGUGCUUGUUUUCUUCUUGAAGUGCUAAAUGCACACAGUUUACUUUUUCAAGACAGUAGAUAUCUAAUGAAAAACAGGCAUAAGCAUUUUAACAGUCUAUAAUGUUUCUUUGUUUUUUCAGUAUAUACAAAGCUUAUUUGAUAAAUAUUAUUCAAUUAUACAAGAAAACUAGUAAACUAGCUGUCUGCCAGGCAUAUUUCUGCUUUUUUUCUGGCUUAUUUAAUUUGCUUUAUUUGAUUAUUUAGGGAAAAUGGAGCCUGUAAAUUUUCAGUAAUAAUUGAACUGCUGUGGUGUAAGAAAGAAAGAGAAAGAAGGAAUAAACACAGAGAGAAGUAUCUCACCACUGAAUUAAUCUGAAGGAAAACUACCGAUUUGUUUUACCUCAGCAUUUGUACAUUUAGAGGAUUAAAAUUUCAGAUGAAGGAUGAUUUUUUUGUAUUCUAUAUAAAAAGAAAAAAGUACAAUGAGGUACUAGUUAAAAAGUACAGGCAGAAGUUAAAAGAAAGUAAGAGAACAUACUUACAUGAACAUAGGAAAUUCAGUCUGGACUGAUCUAUAGACUUAAUGCAAGUAUUACAGAUCUUUAAUGCUGAAGAUUUUGCAAGUAGAUUAGAAAAAAAGAUAACAUUAGCAAUUGCAUCGUGUAUGAUACCUUUAGUAUCACAUAUAUACGCAUAUAGUGUAGUUUUCAACCACACAUGAGAAAAUACGCAUACUUAGGUGUAUCAUAAUAGAUCUAAAAAAGGUAAAUGCAGGAAACGUUUGCAACAUGCAGCUAUUAAAACCAAGGAAGGGCAUAAUAAGGAUUUCCUUCAGUUUCUUGUAUGCCUCUGAAUUAUCCGUACUGUCAGUUGGUUUGAUAACUAAGCCGAUAAUGUUAAAAGCUGAAUGAAUAUUCACUGUAUAUCUGACUGGAUCAGUAGGACUUAAUUGCUGCUUGUAAGUGACAGCAGUGACCACCCUUCCCAAAGAAGGAAAUGGGGUGCUCUCAUUAAAAAUAUCCCUUAAAACAACCUGAGUCUGCUUCCUUGGGUUUUGCUUUGUGGAAUCUUCUCAUACUGAAGCAAGGAUUGAUUGGCAAGAAAACAACAUUUCUCAGAACAAAAUACUACAUAGGAAAUCUUUUUGUCUUAAACAAUUAGUUGGAUUAGUGUUGUAAGUACAAGAAACUGUAAAUACUCUGUGUUGAAGAGAAGGACAGAUGGACUCCAGUGAGGAAAGUUUAGAGAACAGAUUGGGGAAGAGCUAGAAACAUAACUUCUUCCCAUUAAAUGUAUCAUUAGCAAAGGUUUAAACUAUACCUCCUGCAAUUUUAUUAGUAAUGAUAAGCAAACUAAAAUAAUGAUAGAAACUAAUAGAUCUAAAAUGGAGAGAUCAUGUAGUUGAAGUGCUACUCUUCUGGAGUAUUAAGUGUACCUGCAUUAUUCCUGGCAUGUUCACUGAACCCAUUCUCUAGAGAAGCCGCCACAUUAAUCCUCUACCAUUGUAUUUCUUAUUACAUUCUUUUUCUAACCAUAUAGUUAGAAAGUUUUUCCGAACAACUAACCUCAACACAUUUUCUUGCAUAUUAAUCCAGCUCUAUCUUCUUCUACCCUCAUUAGGUAUGGAUAACAACUGAUCACCAUUUUCUAACUUUUUUUAUUGUUUGACAAAUUGUCAUCACGGCUGGAAUUAUUUGCCAGUAAUGUAGGUCCCUACAGGUGAGCUACAUGUUAAAGGUUCUGUAACAAUCAAUGGACAGGUAGCCAAAAGAGUCACUGGAAUCUAGACCGCCACUCAACUAACAACAUGUAGGUACUUAAUUAUCUAAAGUGGAGUCAUUCUUGACCAUAUCGAUUCCCUCUCCACCGACUAUCACGGGAGCUUGACACCUUACACAUAACUUGCUAGAGCCAAGAAGCUGAAUCCCAUCCCAUGUGUCCCUCUUCUUCAUUCUCAAGCUUUUUCUUGUGGGGUGGGGAUUACCUCAACCCUGUAUUUAUUUUCUGUAAAUAGGAAACCUGGGGGCCAAGAAGCACUGCUAAGGAACCGAAAGGAGUUUGGUAGGAAGUAGCGCCCCUCCACAGCCGUGCACACCUGCCAGAGAGAAUGCUGUUCUCUGCCCGCCCCGAUUUAUUUCCAUUUUGCCAGGACUAUUGAGGGAUUCUUGGGGAUUUUUUUCAUUUGCUUGUUUUUAAAGCUAGUAUUUCAGCAGGUUGUGUGAGCCCUCUCUGCACCUUAAUGGCCUUUCAUUUGUGGUUUUAGCUUGCCAAGAAACCUUCAGCCUUCUCUUAUUGCCCCAAAAUGCAAAUAGCCUGGCUAUUUGCAUAUUCUAAAUCCCAGUCUAAAUUAAGAGCAUGAACUCCCUCUGUAGACAGUGGAAACAACAGGCAGUUUACAGGGCAAAAAAUCUGCACACAAACAGCAUGUAAACUGUUUUUGUUAUACUGAAUUCAUAAAUACUCGUUUUCCAGCAAUACACCACCAUUGCACAGGCAUCUUAUUUAGCUUAUCUUGUGCAUGACGUCAUCGGCAUUUUUGUUCUGCAAAGCUGUGGAAAAGGUCAGAUACAGCACAGACAUACCGACUUUUCUCCCCCUUAUUCCAACGAAAAUACUAAAACACAUUAACGAAAGAUUUUCAAAUAAAAAAAAUGCCAAUACACCCACAUUUGUAUGUCAGAAAAUAUUGAUGGAAAGUAGGAUCUUGAGAGAUGUUAAGCACUUCUAAUUCCACUGAGAAUCAGAAAUGUUGUGAAUGUUCAGCACACAUCAGGAUCUCGCUAUAUAUCCGUCCAAAUACAACAGAAGUUUUGCCUUCAUAUGAAUCACAGGUGUGAGCAAAGAUAACUUUAAUUUUUAGCUUCACGCAAUCUCUUCCAAACUGUAUGUCUCAACAUGUCAUAACAUUCUUGUUUUCUAUCAGAGCUGAAAUUCCACAUUGGAAAGCUGGACCACUGAGAAUUGUUUUUAGCCUGAGAUCAAAUUAUUUUGGUCUUGGAGGGGGUUUUUUUUGCUUGUUUUGGUUUUUGGAAUGUUGGGGUUUUUUUUCUUGGGGAGAACAACUUCUGCCUCAUAGUUACUACUAGUGUAUUCUUAUCACCAGGGCAUCAGGUGAAAAAGACUUCUAGAGAAGAACAAAAGAAAGGUUUUUCCCUAUUUAUUCUUCUGUUGGGAAGAUGUGGGAGAAAGUCUGUUCAGCUAGCACUGCCCGUCUGCCUUGCAAGAGAUCAAAUGUGCUCAAGCCAUUCCAUUUCUGGAAUACAGUGCAAAACACCACAUUUUCCCUAACCUGUUUUCAAAUUACAGUGAGCCUGUAAGAUGGAAUGGGUUAUUUCUUAUCAAAGCAGAAAAAGACUAAUUGGGUGCAUUUACAGUAGGAUAAUGAAGGCUGUGUAAUAUCAUCCUCUUAAUGCCAUUUUGUGUUUUAACAAAAUAAAAACCAGUAACAGCAAAGAUACAAAAUUGUAUUUUGUAACCGAGUAUCUAUCUUUUAACAUUCCGCCUAAUUGUCUUAUACUUUAAUGAACUUAAUAUAAAAAUAUUUUUGGAAAGUAUUUGAUGUAAGUAUUAUUCUGUAGCUCCUUUCUGCAUUACUACGGAUGUAUUUUAUGUCUGAAAUGCCUACUUGUGAGGCUUUUUGUGUUACAAUAUUGCAACAUACUUGUUAAUGAAGCAAUUGGCAUUGUGUCCCGUUAAAAAAUAAAAGCCAUGAAAGCACUGACCUCUUUUCCUACGGGUCCCCUUAUUUUAGUACACAUAAUUUGAUGACUCACUUAUUGUAAUUUAGAAAUAAGAUUUUAAGUGGAUAAUAGAACAUAGAACAGCCCAGGUUGGAAGGGACCUUCAAAAAUCAUCUGGUUCAACCUGUUAUCUAGCACCCCGUCCACUCGAGACUUCAAAACCUCAGUGAUGGGGACUCCACUAAGUCCCUGGGAGACUGACGGUUUCACUGCCGAAUAUUUCUUUUAUCAAGAUGAAACCUCUCCCAGUGCAGCUUGUACCCUUUGCCCCUUGUCCUCUCCACGUGGCUCCUUGUGAAGAGACAGCCUCCACCCUCUUUGUAGCUGCCUUUUAGGUACUGGAAAGCUGUGAUGAGAUCCCCCCGAGCCUUCUCUUCUCCAGGGUGAAAAGACCUAACUCCUUCAGUCCCUCCUCACAGAACAGGUUCUCCAGCUCUUCGAUCCUCUUUGUGGCCCUCCUUUGGACCCUCUCCAGCCUGUGUCUUUUUUGAAUUGCACAGACUAGGACUGGGCACAGUACUCCAGGUGUGACCUGACAAACGCUGGCUAGACCAGGAUGAUCACAACUCUGUUUCUGCUAGUAGAAUGCAUCUGUAGUAGAUGCAUCUGUGUAGAGCUAUUAACACAUGUACCCUCAGUAAUAAAAAUAAGAAACAAUAUAAUAGGCAUCAUUUCACACUAGGCAGGAGGUUGAGGCAAAAUACUUCAGAUCUCUGUUGCCUAUAAAUAAGAAAAGCUUCUCAGCUUUUGGCAACGUUAGAAGUUGCUCACCAGGAGACAGGUAACUGUCAUCAGCAGCUCCUCACAUCAUUUCUCAUCAGUGGGUAAGCAGUAAUUCCUCCUGAGAUCUUGCAGGAGCAGAAACAGCUCCCUUGCAUUUGGUAGGUGUGAGCUUCCACUGAGCUGACCGUUCAAAAGAGGAGGUAAUUGGUGACUUAGGAAUUAAAUGGAAACAUAAGCCAAGAACCAACCUCCUUCAGGCAAGCAUCAGAACUUGGGAAAAGAGCCUCUGCAUUUACAAGUCCUGGACCUGCCCUCUGAGUCAGAGGUUCCCAGCUGUGCAGGACUCUGCCAGAGUUGCUGCUUCCCAAAAAGCUGAGCUCUAACCUCAUCAGGAGCUGAAAGCCAAGCUCUGUUGCCUCUUACAGAGCUGAGGUACGUAUUUGCUUCUGAGAGAGGCGGCGGCUGCAAAGCCAUCCUCCUCCUUGGCCCACGGAAAAUAUUGCUGGAGCCGUGGGUCUCCUGGAAUUUCAAUGAGGCUUUGGCGUGUAGCCACUCUGCCCGAAGAGCCGUGGACUGGGGAGGCGUAAG